rnacentral:misc_RNA from 1 species
AACAAGAUCAACUCUAGUUGAGAGUUGGGAGUGGCCUUAUGCGUCGCUAAGCGAGUAUUUGGCUUGAAUAGAUCGAGUUGAUGAGCUUCCCAGCGCGGCUCAAUGUGUGCUAGCGAGACAGUCGUCCCGACCUCACAUUUUCGCUGCGCUGCAGAGUUCUGAGUACAGCUCGUUAAACCCAUAUCAU